UUUUAAAUUGCUGUGGUAUUUUGACUAUACAAAGGUAUUGAAAUAAGACUUUAAUUGAGUGCUAAGAGAAUGGAAAUACAGAAAGAAUCUUUUUUAAACUUAACAUUUAAAGUUAUUUUUAUUUGUGAAGAAACAAUAAUAAAGAUUAAGGACAAGAAGACCCUAAGAAUUUUAUGAAAUGUAUUUCAAUUAAGAAAAUACAUUUCUUUAAUUGGGGCGAUUAAUUAAUAUUAAAAACUUUUUUGUAAAAAUAUGAACCGUUUACUAACGGAAAUUUGGAAAAAAUACUCUAGGGAUAACAGCGUAAUAAUUUUUGAUAGUUCAUAUUGACAAAAUAGUUUGCGACCUCGAUGUUGGAUUAGGAUAUUUUUUAAUGAAGAAGUAAGA
rnacentral:rRNA from 1 species